CCCAACUCCUGUGCUCCCCAGGGGGGCCGAGGUCUCCGUUGUAACCACAUCAAGGACCAGCUUCUCCCUUUGCCCGCCUCUUGCCACGGUCCUCCUGGAACGUCUCUGGAGAAGGUGCCCCAGGAACCUUCUGUAGGUUGCAUCGUGAAUGGUGCCCCUGGAAUUGUCCGUGGUGCAGCCUGUGAAACCCCAUCCAGCCGCACUGGGAAGAAGGCUUAAAGCGAUGCGGUAGCAGCAAUGACGCUCCAAGGUCGUAACUCCAGCGGAAAAAGAGAAUUUCUCUUCCCUACCAAUUCCAGCCAAGCUCCUUGACUUACUCCAGUUGGCCCACCUCGAUCACCGGUCCACCUCUGAAGGAACUGCUGUGGCCGAGGAGAUGAAUAGCUCUGAUUGGUUAGCCCGGGUCCCACCUCCGGAGCUAGAGGAUGGCAUCACCCACCUAGAACCCCAGGGAUUAAGAGUGGGAGAAGAAUGGUUUCUCAGAAAAAUUAGGGGUGUUGUUACCAAAAGAAAGAGGGAUGGAUGUUGGCUUCACUAAUUGUUUGCUACCCUGUUAUCAGUCAUCUCAGAGACACAGCUUGGUUUCAGCAGCCAAGCAAGUCUUUGCUGAUGAAAACAGCUUAACCCAGUCCUGAUUCUACAGCAAAAGACUUCCAAAACAAGAGAUGGCUGCGGUCUUCUCCAACAGAUAAGCCACACAGACGCAGCUUCUGCCACUUACUGUCCUCUCAGUAGCUCUCACUGCGGUUUUCAAGUCUCGUAUUAGCCUGUCAGAAGGAAAGGAUUAACAAGUAUUUUGAUUUCUGUUGAAAACACGUUGUUUCAGAAAUAAAGUUGGCAUGGCAGGCAUCUUGGUUGAUUUAAUCUCUGACACAGGAAGCUUAUUUAUAGCAUCACAGCCUUCUGAAUGUUUAAAAACUCAAGCAUUAUAAGCCUGCUGUGCUUUUCCUGCGAAGUAUGGAAAGGCACUAAAUGAAUAAUGCCACCUGGGCCAACAGCACAGGCAUGCUUGAGAAUCAAACACAGCUUUCAUCUUCUCCUUGGAUGUAUGAACUCCCUUCUGCUCAGGCUGGAUCCGUCCUGCAGGAUGUUUCCUGGGCCACCAGUCCAUGUCCUGGAAAUGAAGUCCCAAAGGAAACAGGCUGGGCUCUGACCCCUUUCCUGAUCUGCUUUCCACGACUUUCCAAACCCUCUCCCAGACACCUCUGAAUCGGAAGAGCUUCUUUGUACUGAAUCUUCCCCCAGGAUGACCCCCUCUUUCUGCUAGCAGCCCCAUUCCACCAGGCAGGUGUCGAGAAUAUUUUUGAGAAAGGUUGUUCAAGCAACCCAAGCCAAUCCCCUCCUUUUCCAGCUUCAAGGGAGCCUCAACCAGUACAUUUUCCCCCUAAGAACGAAAUCUCACUAAAAAUAGACAUCAGUGCCAGGGAUGUGGGUUAAUUUAGGCAUUUAAUUUUGCCUUCCUGUCACAGGAAAAAUUGAUUAUCUUCGAGUUAAAAAGGAAGUCACUGCAAAGGUAUUUAAAACAGCUAGGCAACGACAUCUUUUGGGGCAGUGGAUCCCUAGUGACUACUGCAGAUAUAAACAUUUUACUGUAUUAAUUUAUAGGUGAGCACCAACUGCCUCAAUGAUAUAAUUUGAAAGCAAUGUACUUCUUUUACUAAUCAAAGGA